AGAACGUGGCGCCGGAAACGGAAACGUCUGUGCAGACCAAUGGGGUGCCGAGAGAGAACGCUGACUCCGGAAACGUCCUGGCUGUCUGGGGAGGCAGUGGGUGGACCAUGAGUGAGUUAGGAGGCCGAACUGCCCACCUCUACAAUGGGUUCCCAGGAGAGCGAACACGGGACCCGCUCCUCCAGGCCUCAGCCCCACUCUGGAAUGAGUUCAACAGCAAGGUACGGUGAGAGCUGGCGGCUUCAUUUUUGGAACCAGGGAGAGAGAGAGAGAGAGAGGUUUAUGAGAGACCUCAUGAGACAGCUCAUGAUGGAAGUGAGACUGAGUUGCAGUGAACCCUGUCACUGAAGAGACAGCCUUCACACUGUGUCUUGCAGGGGAAAAUACAACUCUUUAUUAAAAUUU
rnacentral:lncRNA from 10 species